rfam:Pediculus humanus corporis strain TSDA 1103172094918, whole genome shotgun sequence.
AAAACGGCCCUUUUCAGGGCCAAAAAACACGACACGUACGAUACUG